rnacentral:rRNA from 2 species
UACGUAGGGCGCAAGCGUUGUCCGGAAUUAUUGGGCGUAAAGAGCUCGUAGGCGGUCUGUCGCGUCUGGUGUGAAAUCCCAUGGCUCAACUGUGGGCUUGCAUCGGGUACGGGCAGACUAGAGUGCUGUAGGGGAGACUGGAAUUCCUGGUGUAGCGGUGGAAUGCGCAGAUAUCAGGAGGAACACCGAUGGCGAAGGCAGGUCUCUGGGCAGUUACUGACGCUGAGGAGCGAAAGCAUGGGGAGCGAAC